rnacentral:rRNA from 1 species
UACGGAGGGUGCAAGCGUUGAUCGGAAUCACUGGGCUUAAAGAGCGUGUAGGCGGAGUGCCAUGUGCUUUGUGAAAUCCCUCAGCUCAACUGAGGAAUUGCUGAGCAAACGGGUACUCUUGAGGCAGGUAGAGGUGAGCGGAACGACUGGUGGAGCGGUGAAAUGCGUAGAUAUCAGUUGGAACGCCGGUGGCGAAAGCGGCUCACUGGGCCUGUCCUGACGCUGAGACGCGAAAGCGUGGGUAGCAAACAGG